UACGGAGGGUGCAAGCGUUAAUCGGAAUUACUGGGCGUAAAGCGCACGCAGGUGGCUGAGUCAGUCGAUUGUGAAAGCCCUGGGCUUAACCUGGGAAUUGCAGUCGAUACUACUCAGCUAGAGUAUGGGAGAGGGUAGUGGAAUUCCCGGUGUAGCGGUGAAAUGCGUAGAGAUUGGGUGGAACACCGGUGGCGAAGGCGGCUAUCUGGCUCACAACUGACGGUCAGGCACGAAAGCGUGGGGAGCAAACAGG
rnacentral:rRNA from 1 species